UGCAAGUCGUACGCUUCUUUUUCCACCGGAGCUUGCUCCACCGGAAAAAGAGGAGUGGCGAACGGGUGAGUAACACGUGGGUAACCUGCCCAUCAGAAGGGGAUAACACUUGGAAACAGGUGCUAAUACCGUAUAACAAUCGAAACCGCAUGGUUUUGAUUUGAAAGGCGCUUUCGGGUGUCGCUGAUGGAUGGACCCGCGGUGCAUUAGCUAGUUGGUGAGGUAACGGCUCACCAAGGCCACGAUGCAUAGCCGACCUGAGAGGGUGAUCGGCCACAUUGGGACUGAGACACGGCCCAAACUCCUACGGGAGGCAGCAGUAGGGAAUCUUCGGCAAUGGACGAAAGUCUGACCGAGCAACGCCGCGUGAGUGAAGAAGGUUUUCGGAUCGUAAAACUCUGUUGUUAGAGAAGAACAAGGAUGAGAGUAACUGUUCAUCCCUUGACGGUAUCUAACCAGAAAGCCACGGCUAACUACGUGCCAGCAGCCGCGGUAAUACGUAGGUGGCAAGCGUUGUCCGGAUUUAUUGGGCGUAAAGCGAGCGCAGGCGGUUUCUUAAGUCUGAUGUGAAAGCCCCCGGCUCAACCGGGGAGGGUCAUUGGAAACUGGGAGACUUGAGUGCAGAAGAGGAGAGUGGAAUUCCAUGUGUAGCGGUGAAAUGCGUAGAUAUAUGGAGGAACACCAGUGGCGAAGGCGGCUCUCUGGUCUGUAACUGACGCUGAGGCUCGAAAGCGUGGGGAGCAAACAGGAUUAGAUACCCUGGUAGUCCACGCCGUAAACGAUGAGUGCUAAGUGUUGGAGGGUUUCCGCCCUUCAGUGCUGCAGCUAACGCAUUAAGCACUCCGCCUGGGGAGUACGACCGCAAGGUUGAAACUCAAAGGAAUUGACGGGGGCCCGCACAAGCGGUGGAGCAUGUGGUUUAAUUCGAAGCAACGCGAAGAACCUUACCAGGUCUUGACAUCCUUUGACCACUCUAGAGAUAGAGCUUCCCCUUCGGGGGCAAAGUGACAGGUGGUGCAUGGUUGUCGUCAGCUCGUGUCGUGAGAUGUUGGGUUAAGUCCCGCAACGAGCGCAACCCUUAUUGUUAGUUGCCAUCAUUCAGUUGGGCACUCUAGCAAGACUGCCGGUGACAAACCGGAGGAAGGUGGGGAUGACGUCAAAUCAUCAUGCCCCUUAUGACCUGGGCUACACACGUGCUACAAUGGGAAGUACAACGAGUUGCGAAGUCGCGAGGCUAAGCUAAUCUCUUAAGCUUCUCUCAGU
rnacentral:rRNA from 1 species